GCGUGGGUGAUGAAGGCCUUAGGGUUGUAAAGCCCUUUCGGCGGGGAAGAUAAUGACGGUACCCGCAGAAGAAGCCCCGGCUAACUUCGUGCCAGCAGCCGCGGUAAUACGAAGGGGGUUAGCGUUGCUCGGAAUCACUGGGCGUAAAGCGCACGUAGGCGGAUUGCUAAGUCAGGGGUGAAAUCCUGGAGCUCAACUCCAGAACUGCCCUUGAUACUGGCGACCUUGAGUCCGGGAGAGGUGAGUGGAACUGCGAGUGUAGAGGUGAAAUUCGU
rnacentral:rRNA from 1 species